GUUAGAACAGCCAAGGCAUGCAUUUCUCUUUAAGCGAAGUGAGUCUUGUGGGUCUAACAGUAUGUUUAAAGACUUUGGUGACUUCCAGUGUGACAUCACAUUGUCACACUAGGUUUACAUGUUUCUAAAGAGCUCAGUGAGGAAAGGUGAAAGAAAAAAGAAUGAACAGACUGAAUGAAGAGACUCCUUUGAUGGAAGCACUGGAAUAGCUUGGUACAAAAUCCUGAGGAUCUCUAUCAGAGGAACAGGAGAGUUCUUCUAGGAGCAGUAGUAAAUCUCUAAAUGUGUCAUCAAGACUCCCUGAAAUGCUCCCAUACAGUCUGUCAAAUUAAAUGUAAAUAGCUUGGAAUAAAAGACUUGCAUUGAAGACAUCUGGAGAGUGCUGUGCCGUGACUCUGAACUCAGAGGUUGCUCAUGUAAAUGCCCUUACAGACAAUGACAGCAAAUGGCUACGUUACUGAAGAAAUAAAUGCUCAUUAGAUGCUCAGAUAAAACCGAUGGAUCUGAACAAAAUGGCACCUCAGCUUGAACCUUCAUAUGGCAUUGCUUCUCUUGGAGUCACUUAUUCAUAGGCUGAAACAGAUAUGAAAUCUAAUCACCCCAUGGCCCUUCCAGCAUCUAGGAAGCAAAAUGCAAGGAAAAAGAUGGCUCCUUCAACUCAAGCUCUCAUAUGUUGCUGUUCAUCCUGUCAGUAGACUUUGUUCAAGGUAGUAAUGAAAUAUGGGAGGAACACGAUGCAGGCUUAAGCUCCAAGCACAGCCCGCAUGCACGUGCCAGGCUCGUCCUCUGAGAGUCAACAGAUAUUUCUUGAAAAGGAAGAGAGGUUCAGUUCCUGGAGUAUAUCCAUUCUGCAUAGAUUUGGCAAACGUUGAUCGUACCUAUCUUGUGCUUUGCCUCUGUAAGAAGCAGAGACCCAAGCCAACUUCCUCCAUAUGGUCACAAUGCCUAGAGCCACAGUCAGUUUGGGAAUAUGCUGGCACCAAGAAAAAGAAUAACUGUCAGGCUGAGUGCCAUGAUCUGCCCCAUUUUAAAUAUUGCCUACGAGUGGGCAAGAAACUGCUUCAGAGUACUUCCAGCUGCAGCUGGCAACUGCAUCAAGAAGGUAAAUCAUGGAAAGUGGAUGAAAAGUUAGACAGGAGUAUUAUGUCAAGUGGGACACUGCAGGUUUAAGCAAGACCUUGUGAUGGAGCUGAGCAGAUAAUAACCCUCUAGAUGAAAGCUAGUUCCCAGACUGUCACCAAGAGACUGUUAGAUCAUCCAUGAGAUAUAUAGUAUUCCUGCUUGAAAAGAUGGCUCGUGGCAGGUCAGAUGGAAUGAUGAAUGUUAACAAGGGUCUACAGCCAGCAGUUGGGAAGUUGUAGUCCUAUGACUUUCCACUGGCUCACUUAGUGAUUAUUUCUGGAUUCUACAUUAUCUUAACUUAGAAUGUUCAACAACAAAAAAGUUUAUUGGAGAAAAAAUAUAAUUAUUGGUCAGCUGGAUAUAUUAAUUCUAGCAAUUUGUAAUAACAAUCUCCACUUUUUCUGCUGCACCAAGACAAAUGAAAAUCCAGUCUCUGCCUUGGAGAGUUUAUAAAUAACACUACACUAAUCUUGUGAAGGGCAUGAAAGGGUCAAGGAAGGAAAGGAAUUACUUAGGGUAGCCCAGGGGAGCAGACCUCCUAGUGAAAAGGUGAAGCUAAGUGGAAUUUGUGGCUUAAACAUUAUCAGAGUGCUUCUUGAUAUGGAUUUGACCUUUAAGUGGUCUCCCAAGAGAUAAGGAGAGAACUUAAAUGCUUGGAACGUUUCAGUUAUAUUGGACUAAAUUCCUAAAAAAUAUUUGGCAAGGAGUUAGCCUUCAAAGGAGAUAGAUGAGCUAAUUAGGUUCUUUUCCAUCUCCAACUACCAUGACUUUAUGUGUUGCCAGAGCUGCAUGACCUUAGAAAGGAAAGUGUGGGACAUAUCUGUGGUGAUGUACUAUACAUAGUGUUGUAUUUCCAUGCACAGCAUCAGGUCCUCUGGCACUGAGCUGGAUCCAAAAGAUACUUAAAAUAAAGUACUUAAGAAUAGCAAGACUAACCUUUUCAAAGGGAGCUGAUGCAACAAUCAUUCCUCAGUCACCAGCAUGUCCAAUUUCUCAAAUACCAUUAAAAAAUAGCAACACAUUUUCACCCUGCUGCCUACUACUGGUUAACAGAAUGAUCCCAGCACAUAGCUACUUGGUAGCCUAGGAAAAUAUGGAAACACUUCACAUACAGUAUCUCACUGUUGAUCCCUUGCUGUUUGUGUCAUACAGCUCUUCACAAGAUAAAUCAUCUUGCCUGAAGUGAGUCACUUACCGAAAAGAUUCCUCUGCCCUCCUCCCCCUUUGAUAUGUUUGUUCUUAAAUUUCCAAAUGGAUUGAAGUGAACAGACUUUGAAGUGUGGUUAUGGCUGCCAUCAAAAUAAUGACUAUCCCCCAAAAAUGUCACUGGGUGACUUCUGAUUUAUUCCUUCUCAGUCGUUUCCAGACCCAGUGUGCUCAGCUUGUGCAUCAAAAAUGAAGACGUUCUCAGCUCCUAAUGCCACAAAAGCUAAUUUACAGUUCUCUUCUGUCAUGCUUUAUUACUAGUGAAGAAAAGGCAUUGCGAAUAUUGGCAUUCUUCUUUUUCUUGAAUAUUUCCUCAAUGUUCCCAAACAAAGCUUUUAAACAAAAUUUGCAAGCAUUUAAUCUAAAUGUGCUCAGUCUGAGUCUAGAUCUGAACCCAUUAUUUGAAUAUCUCAGAACUAACACAUGGAUUUAUCCAUCCCAAAGUUUAAGAACAGUUUGCUGAAGCUGGAAGUAGUUUGAGGCCAAGGUGAAGGCAAGAAACAGGAAAUAACUGUUGUUCACAGCAUCCAUGCUGGUUUUCUACAGUUGAACUUCGUAUUGACCAGUGAACAAUCUUAGACAGGUCGUACAUUUCAUAUAGCAGCAGACAUGAGUAAUGGUUUCAACUAUGGAUAAUUAUCCAGGAGAUGCAAGCUCCUUCUGGCAGAAAAUUAAUUAAUUAAUUAAUUCAGUGUUAGUUAUUAAUUCCUGCACCAUGUACCAGAUAGAUUGCAGCAAAGCAGUGUGCCAGGAUACAAAGUCUUCAUCUUUUUGCAAGUUUGAAAGAAGGGUAUUUCAUCCCAACCAUAACAAGAGAAAGACAGGGAAGUGAUCAAGGCAAGUCUGAAAAGUCCUGCACCAUUAUUGUUGUUGCUACAAGACCACAUCUGACUGAGCUUAAUAUGGGGGUAGAUAACACAUUAAUAUCCCUGUUAAGAUUUUUCUUUUGCAGCAAUAUCCAACUAAAUUCUGUUCUAUUAUGCAGGAACACCUAGCCAAAACAUGGAGAUAACCACUGUUUUUCCAGCUUAUAAAAAUAAGCUCAUAAUACUGCUAAAGUCUGCUUAAUAGGUAAAAGAGACAAAGUUUUUUCAGAGAGAGAGAAGCAAUCUCUUACUGUUACAGUUGAUAAUCUAUCUGGAAACAAUCUAUAUAUUGCCAUCAUAAGAAGUCCUUAUCUUGAGGUAAAAUAGAAGCUACAGAUUUCAAAGCACGCACAGUUGCCCUAACUUUAAAAUCAUUGCAAUAUUUAAACACUUUGAGGGAAAAGUUGCUGAACAAAAGAUGAAGUUUGCAACAGGAAAGUUGAUUAGGUUGGCGAUGGUCUUCGUCCCCCAGCACACAAUUACUGCCUAUGAGAUACUGAAGUCUUGUCAUUGGCAGGGUGCAGAUUAAAUUAUAAUUAUAGAUAUGUGUAUUAUGUGACACACUAAGAAACUCCUCUGAGUUAUGGCUUUAGGUAUACAGUAGAAUUAUGGACUUUAACUUUCCAGCAAAGAUUUCUAGGGUAUUUUGUAAGUCUCUCUGGAGGAUCAGGGCCAAGAAGCCAGACGUGUAGCAUCAGGAAGUAGUUAUAGUUGGAAAAUCUCCCCUUCUCCGGACAGAUCUAGUCUCAAUGAUCUCCUUUUGCCAUCACAUCCAUAGCAACACUACUAGCAAAAGAUGAAAGAUGUCUGACAACUUUGUUCCCCUGGAACCACAGAGCUUUCUACCAUAAGGAUAACUUUCAUGUGGAAGAGACACAGAACUUUUUCCGGGAGUGGGUCCAACACUUUGAAACAAAUCCUCACAAGACAGGAGAACCAUCCCAAACCUCACCACCUUCAGGUCCAUUUACACGUCAAGUGAUUUCCUUCUUGCCUCCUGCAGUGUAAACAUGAGGAAAUGCAUGCAUAUUUAUUUAAGCCUUCCCCAGCUAUGAUGUUCCACUACUCCCAUUUCUUCUGCUCUUUGCAAUGUUUAAUACAUAACUGGAAAGCAUGCCAGCACUUAUGAAUAUAAUCAUGAGUAUAAGAAUAGAGAGUAGACAACAGAAAUAUGUUCCCUUAACUCAACUGAUGGCAAGAGAAUAGACAGGGAGAGAGGAAGGAAAAGGAGGAAAGGAGACAAACUUCAAGGUGCACCAAGCCAUAAAUGAAAAACCAUAACCAAUGUGAGUCUAAAGUUUGGUACAACAGGUUCAUACACAGAUCAAGCACUCAGAAUUGACCACACCAUGAAAGACAGAGCAAGUUUGAUAAUUUUCAGUAAGCCACUGCACAAAAGCUGGAAAGAGCCCCUUCUUGCUUCGACAAAGAAGAGAAACAAAAAUUAUAAGUAGGCAAAAACAGGCCCUUGAAAAAGGCACUGGGUUUGAAACCAGGUAAAAUGGAGUUUGUAAUUAAUUCAGCUCCCACUCUUCUUCUGGCCAAAGACACACAGAUGUCUUCUGAAAUUACUUACUCUGGUGAAACUUCUAGUUACAUGGGGAAGGUCUGAUUCUCCUUGUCUUCCUUUCUCCUUUCCUGUUUGUGGGGUGUUUGAGAGCUUGUUUCACCAUUCGGAAAAUAAUCCAGACACUUUGUGCAUCUACAGUCCGGUCUCUGGAUACCCAAACCUGGUCACCAUAAGUACACUUCGUUCACAAUCCCAUAGCAAAGCGUUGGCUCCUAUUUUCCUCUCCUGUACAAUUUUACAAGAGGAUUCCUAGAGCAUCAACAGCAGUAGCCUUUAAGGAAAUACAUGCACAGACGUGUGAAAUUCCUGCUAGCUACAACAGUCCUGGCUUGCAGUGGGAAUGCUAGCAGGAACCAUUGGGAAACUCAUCUGGAAUGACCACCAUUCAAAGUGGUUUUAAUCCAGUCAGACUCACUCAACAUUGGAGUCAGGUUGGAAGAACCCCAUGAGGACUUCUGGUAUCUGUUCUUUCCCAGCUCUGCUCAUAUCCCAACCAGUUUGGCAUAUUCCUGGAGGUAUUUUUUCUUUAUUUUUUUUUCCUGAGUGGGCACAGCUCCACCUCAUGUCAUCAGAACUUUGUUUCCCAUUGGCAGCCCUUCCCUCUCUCAUCGCCGGUGCCAGCACAAGGGUGGUGUACAUCAGCCCCAUGACUGAAGCAAGCUGUAACUGACAGCGGGGCAGGGAUGAGUGGCUGGUACAGGCAGGAGAUGUCUGUACUGCACUUAUCCUAAGGAGCUGAGAGCCAGGGCACUGCAGAUAGGAGCCGAGAAGUGCUGAGUGACUGUGCAGCUGAGAGAGAACAGGCCCUGCCUUAUCCUGGAGGGGGAAGUUCAACCAAAAGGGAUUUUGCUGUUUCAAAUUACAAGCUGGUGGCUCCAGACAAAUCUGGAGGGGGCUGCCACCUCCUGAAAUAGCAGCAGCAGAGAGAGCUGCAUGCUGAGAUCAGGAGCAGUAGGGUGACAUUUGGGAGUGAGGGUUGCUGCAAGAUGGCCUUUGGGUGCCAAGGUCACACAGCCCAUCGGGAUGCACCUCGACACAGCCUCGCUCAUUCCUUUGUCUACUCCCCACCUCUGCCAGGACCUAGAGGACAGUGUGCAGGGGUUGAGCUCCAUUGCAUUGAGAAAUAAAUCAAACCCUGUGGUCAGGAGCCAUUGCCUCCAAGCCAUCCCCUCUUUCCUCACUGAACCCAAAGUCUUUGGCCAUGCGGGAGCUAAAAUAUUUUGUUGCCACCCUGAUCACUUACAAGAAUGCAGCCACUGGCCCUAAUGCUUUAAUCCUCCCAUUGUCUUUUAAAGCUUUUUACAUUGUCACCAAUAAAGAUCG
ensembl:lncRNA